UAUAGAACACUCAUAUCGAUAAAAUAGUUUGAACUAUUUACUAGAAGGGCACGCAGCCCUUUUUCCAAUGCCAAAUCGACGACCUAUGUAUAAAAAAAAGAGAAAUUUUUUGGAUUUGAAGAAAAAAUAAAAGGAAUUCUAUCAAUUUUUAUUUUCCAUUUAUUUAGUUAGUUUUUCUUAAUGAAAUUGAAAUUAUUAACUAACAGAGCAAACACAAAUAAAGAAACAACUUUGCUGACCAUGAUAGAUUUUUAUCUAGUUGGAAGAGUCCUCUUAAUAUUCAUCUAGUCUUAUAUAAGUUUGGGUAUAUAGAAAUACAAACAGAAAAGAGAGGAUAGAGGAUAGGCUCAUUACAUAAAAAAAAGAUAUGGAAAUAGCCAUAAUACAUAACAAAAAAGAAAAAAAGGAGCGGGAGAGCCAAAUGAAUCGAAAGAUUCAUGUUUGGUUCGGGAAGAGAUCAUAAAAAUUGUAAACUUAAUAGCAAGAUAAUCUACUUUCAUUAAAAGAUUUAUUAGAUAAUCGAAAACAGAGGAUUUUAAGUACUAUUCGAAAUUCGGAAGAAUUGCGUAAAGGGACCCUUGAACAACUCGAAAAAGCUCGUAUUCGAUUACAGAAAGUCGAACUGGAAGCAGAUGAGUAUCGAAUGAAUGGAUACUCUGAAAUAGAACGAGAAAAAGAAAAUUUGAUUAAUGCUACUUCUAUUAGUUUGGAACAAUUAGAAAAGUCUAAAAACGAAACCCUUUAUUUUGAAAAACAAAGGGCGAUGAAUCAGGUCCGACAACGGGUUUUCCAACAAGCUGUACAAGGAGCUCUAGGAACUCUGAAUAGUUGUUUGAAUACCGAGUUACAUUUCCGUACGAUUCGUGCUAAUAUUGGCAUUCUCGGGGCCAUAGAAUGGAAGAGAUAAUUCAAUUUAUUAGGUUUUGAACUUCUACUUUUGUUUAGAAUUUAGGCAUUAUUUUUCCCUUGCUUC